ACUUCAUUACAGAGUUUUUUCAAGACAAUAUAGUGUGUCUUGCAGUCAGUCUCUUCACACUUGAAGAAUUCUUUCUCUUCUCUCUCAAGAUGAUGACAGUGUUUGUGUGUUUUGAUGAUACACAGAGCCAUCAAAUGCUUCUUGAAGAGAAGAACAGAUAUAUUUUCAGCAGAAGAGAGAGAGAGAAACACAUUCUAAUUAUAAUGAUGAAGAUUUCUAGAGAAAAUAAUAUAUUCUUUUUAUAAGUUACUAUCCGCGCAGAAAUGUGAUGGAAAGAACAGAGAUAUAUCAAAGAAUUCAAGA
rnacentral:sRNA from 1 species